GUUUUAGCAGUUUCGCUCUAAAACCUGACACCGCCACCUGUCGUCUCUCUUCUUGGAAAUCAAUUUUUUCUCCCGGUGUUCAAAGUUCAAAGAAACUAUAAACCUACUUCCUUCUUAAUCCCACUGCAGUACACGCAGGCCUUCUCCUUCUACUUCAUCAUUGAUUAUCUACACCUUCAAACGACAUAUGAAGUCCCACAUUCACUGAGUUUUGAGUAAAAAUGUUUUCUAUAUGACUUGGCCAAUCCUUCUCUGGUGUGGUGGAUUUAUGUCCCAUUCAUUUUCGCAUUCUGCAAAAAUCUCACACAAGGUGCACUUUUAGUUUAAAAAAGAACACACAGCCAUGGCCGCUAACUCCACUGACCGUAGAGAGGUUGUUCUCAAAAUGGAUGGGAAACGUGAUCCCACUGCCAGAAGCUUCGAACCCACAAACACUGGGAUGAUUUGGAGGGAAUCGAGCUAUGAUUUUUGGAAU
rnacentral:misc_RNA from 1 species